rnacentral:tRNA from 1 species
GGCACUUUGGCGGAGUGGUUAACGCGAUGCCCUGCUAUUUUACAAGCAAAACCUCUAACUUCCUUCGGGAGCGUGAGGCCUGUGCAAUAAAUAGUGCUAGGCAUUUCCUUCGGGAGCGUGUGUUCGAAUCACACAGGUGUCG